rnacentral:lncRNA from 1 species
UUUUUUUUGUCUUUUUGUCUUUUCUAGGGCCGCUCCUGAGGCACAUGGAGGUUCCCAGGCUAGGGGUCCAGUCGGAGCUGUAGCCACCGUCCUACACCACAGCUCACAGCAACACUGGAUCCUUAACCCACUGAGCAAGGCCAGGGAUCGAACCCGCAACCUCAUGGUUCCUAGUCGGAUUCGUUAACCACUGAGCCAUGACAGGAACUCCUCAAACUAUUUUCUCCCAUUAUGUAAGUUGUCUUUUUUUUUUUAAUAGUUUCCUUUGCUGUGCAAAAGCUUGCCAGUUUGAUUAGGUCCCAUUGGUUUAUUUUUGCUUUUAUUUCUGUUGCCCUGGGAGAUUGACUUAAGAAAACAUUUGUAUGGUUAAUGUCAGAGAAUGUUUUGCCUGUGUUCACUUCCAGGAGUUUGAUGGUGUCUUGUCUUAUGUUUAAGUCCUUAAGCCAUUUUGAAUUUAUUUUUGUGCAUGGCGUGGGGGUGUGUUCCAGUUUCACUGAUUUACAUGCAGCUGUCCAGUUGCUUGCUGUUGUACAGCACCACUGGCUGAAAAGACUGUCUUUCCCCCAUUUUAUUGCCUUUGUCGGAGAUUAAUUGACCGUAGGUGUCUGGGUUUAUUUCUGUUCCAUUGGUCUGUAUGUCUCUUUUGGUGCCAAUACCACAUUGUCUUGAUUACUGUGGCUUUGUAAUAUUGCCUGAAAUCUAGGAGAGUUAUGCCUCCUGCUUGCUUUUUUGUUCCUUAGGAUUGCUUUGGCAAUUCCAGGUCUUUUAUGGUUCCAUAUACAUUUUUGGACUGUUGUAGUUCUGUGAAAAAUGUCAGGGGUAAUUUGAUAAGGAUUGCAUUGAAUCUGUAGAUUGCUUUGGGUAGUACGGCCAUUUUCACAAUAUUAAUCUUUCCAACCCAGAAGCUUGGAAUAUCUUUCCAUUUCUUUGAAUCUUCCUUAAUUUCUUUGAUUAAUGUUUUAUAGUUCUCAGAAUAUAAGUCUUUCACCUCCUUGGUCAGGUUUAUUCCUAGGUAUUUAAUUUUUUUGUGGUGCAAUUUUAAAAGGUAUUGUAUUUUUAUAUUCCUUUUCUAAUAUUUCAUUGUUAGUAUACAGAAAUGCAACCAAUUUCUGAAUAUUAAUCUUAUAUCCUGCUACUUUGCUGAAUCCAUUGAUUAGUACUUUUUGUGUGGAGUCCUUAGGGUUUUCUAUAUGUAGCAUCAUGUCAUCUGCAUACAGUGACAAUUUGCUUCUUCCAAUUUGGAUACAUUUUAUUUAUUUUAUUUGUCUGAUUGCUGUGGCUAGGAAUUACAAUACUAUGUUGAAUAAAAGUGGUAAGAGUGGGCAUUCUUGUCUUGGUACAGAUUUUAGAGGGAAGGCUUUCAGCUUUUCUCCAUUGAGUAUUGUAUUUGCUGUGGGUUUGUCAUAAAUGGCUUUUAUUAUGUUAAGGUAUAUUCUCUCUAUACUCACUUUUGUAAGAGUUUUUAUCAUGAAUGGAUAUUGGACUUGUCAAAUGCUUUUCUGCAUCUAUUGAGAUGAUCAUGUGGUUUUUGACUUUUCUUCUGUUAAUGUGGUGUAUGAUGUUGAUUGAUUUGCGUAUGUUGAACCAUUCUUGUGAACCUGGGGUGAAUCUCACUUGGUCGUAGUGUAUGAUCUUUUUUAUAUGUUGUUGGAUUAGUUGGCUAAAAUUCUGUUGAGAAUUUCUGCAUUUAUAGUCAUUAAAGAUAUUGGCCUAUAAUUUUCUUUCUUGAUAGUAUCUUUGUCAGGUUUUGGUAUUACGGUUAUGGUGGCUUCAUAGAAUGUCUUUGGGAGUGAUCCUUCUUCAACCUUUUGGAAAAAUUUAAGGAGGCUGGGUGUAAGUUCUUCUUUGUAUGUUUGGUAGAAUUUGCCUGUGAAGCCAUCCGGUCCUCCACUUUUGUUUGUAGGGAGUGUUUUUAUUACAUAUUCAAUUUUAUUUCUAGUGAUCAGUCUUUUCAGUUGAUCUAUUUCUUGAUUCGGUUUUGGUGGGCUGUAUGUCUCUAGAAAGUUGUCCAUUUCUUUUUUUAGGAUGUCAAAUUCAUUGGCAUAUAAUUGUUCAUAGUAUUCUCUUACAGUUUUCUGUAUUUCUCCAGUAUCUGUUGCGAUUUCUCCUUCUUCACUUCUUAUUUUGAGUUCUUUCUCCCUUCUUCUUGGUGAGUGUGGCCAGAGGUUUGUCAAUUUUGUUUACCCUUUCAAAGAACCAGCUCUUGGAGUUCCCUUUGUGGCUCAGCAGUAGAUGAACCCAACUAAGCUCCAUGAGGAUGCAGGUUCAAUCCCUGGCCAUGCUCAGUGGGUUAAGGAUCCUGUGUUGCUGUGAGCUGUGGUAUAGGUCACAGACACAGCUCAGAUUCCGUGUUGCUAUAGCUGUGGUGUAGGCCGGCAGAUGUAGCUCCCAUUUGACCCUAGCCUGGAAACUUCCCUAUGCCGCAGGUGUGACCCUAAAAAGCAAAAAAAAAAAAA